AGAGAUAUAGUUCUUCAAAGAAACGAAGAUGGCGAACGAAUUAUUCAUAAGCCGAGGCAAAGCACUUCGAGCAAUAGAAAUACACAAAGAGAUCUUGAAGCCAUUCUUGAAAGCUGUCAGUUGGUUAUUGGAGAAGUGGAUACUGGGCCAUCUGCUUGG